rnacentral:pre_miRNA from 1 species
AAUAACACCUCCUUGGACUCUUUUAAAAUGCAGAUUCUGAUUUAGCAAUUCUAGAGGAAAGAUGGCUGAAACUCCAUAUUUUUAAUGAGGUCCCAGGAGGUGAUGAC